AGUUGCCAUCAGUUCGGCUGGGCACUCUAUGGAGACUGCCACCUAAAGUGGAGGAAGGUGGGGAUGACGUCAAGUCAGCAUGGCCCUUACGUCCGGGGCUACACACGUGCUACAAUGGCCGGUACAAAGGGUUGCGAAGCCGUGAGGUGGAGCGAAUCUCAAAAAGCCGGCCUCAGUUCGGAUUGGAGGCUGCAACUCGCCUCCAUGAAGUCGGAAUCGCUAGUAACCGCAGAUCAGCUACGUUGCGGUGAAUACGUUCCCGGGCCUU
rnacentral:rRNA from 1 species